rnacentral:rRNA from 1 species
CCUACGGGUGGCUGCAGUGGGGAAUAUUGGACAAUGGGCGAAAGCCUGAUCCAGCCAUGCCGCGUGUGUGAAGAAGGCCUUCGGGUUGUAAAGCACUUUCAGUGGGGAAGAAAGCCUUGGGGCUAAUACCCUCGAGGAAGGACAUCACCCACAGAAGAAGCACCGGCUAACUCCGUGCCAGCAGCCGCGGUAAUACGGAGGGUGCGAGCGGUAAUCGGAAUUACUGGGCGUAAAGCGCGCGUAGGCGGUCUGAUAAGCCGGUUGUGAAAGCCCCGGGCUCAACCUGGGAACGGCAUCCGGAACUGUCAGGCUAGAGUGCAGGAGAGGAAGGUAGAAUUCCCGGUGUAGCGGUGAAAUGCGUAGAGAUCGGGAGGAAUACCAGUGGCGAAGGCGGCCUUCUGGACUGACACUGACGCUGAGGUGCGAAAGCGUGGGUAGCAAACAGGAUUAGAUACCCCAGUAGUC